UGCUCACUUGGGCAGGAUAUAUCUAAAAUUUGAACAAUACAAAAAAGAUUAGCAUGGUGCCUGCACAAGGAUGACAUGCAAAUCUGUGAAGUGUUCCACAUUUAA